rnacentral:tRNA from 1 species
GGAGAUAGCUCAGUUGGUAGAGUGUAUGCCUUGUGUGCAAAGGGCCCUGGGUUCAAUCCCCAACACCA